rnacentral:rRNA from 1 species
AGAGUUUGAUCAUGGCUCAGGACGAACGCUGGCGGCGUGCCUAACACAUGCAAGUCGAGCGAGUGAAUCUCCUUCGGGAAGUGAAGCUAGCGGCGGACGGGUGAGUAACACGUGGGCAACCUGCCUCAUAGAGGGGAAUAGCCUUUCGAAAGGAAGAUUAAUACCGCAUAAGAUUGUAGCUUCGCAUGAAGUAGCAAUUAAAGGAGCAAUCCGCUAUGAGAUGGGCCCGCGGCGCAUUAGGCUAGUUGGUGAGGUAACGGCUCACCAAGGCGACGAUGCGUAGCCGACCUGAGAGGGGUGAUCGGCCACACUUGGGACUGAGACACGGCCCAGACUCCUACGGGAGGCAGCA